AGUCGAGCGAACAGACAAGGAGCUUGCUCCUUUGACGUUAGCGGCGGACGGGUGAGUAACACGUGGGUAACCUACCUAUAAGACUGGGAUAACUUCGGGAAACCGGAGCUAAUACCGGAUAAUAUUUCGAACCGCAUGGUUCGAUAGUGAAAGAUGGUUUUGCUAUCACUUAUAGAUGGACCCGCGCCGUAUUAGCUAGUUGGUAAGGUAACGGCUUACCAAGGCGACGAUACGUAGCCGACCUGAGAGGGUGAUCGGCCACACUGGAACUGAGACACGGUCCAGACUCCUACGGGAGGCAGCAGUAGGGAAUCUUCCGCAAUGGGCGAAAGCCUGACGGAGCAACGCCGCGUGAGUGAUGAAGGUCUUCGGAUCGUAAAACUCUGUUAUUAGGGAAGAACAUACGUGUAAGUAACUAUGCACGUCUUGACGGUACCUAAUCAGAAAGCCACGGCUAACUACGUGCCA
rnacentral:rRNA from 1 species